GAUGCGCCACUUCUUAUGAUCGUUGGAUGAGUAGUUUGGGCAUGUGAAGUAAUCCACACCGUUGCUUGUUGGUUACCGGUUAACUUGUUGCUAUAGGUAAAAUAAAUAAAAUAAAAACAAUUGCUCUCUCCUUCAGUCAAAGACAUUUCAGAGCCGCUCCUCUCAUUUUUCUCUUCCUCUGAUUUCGAUUCUUUCUACAGCUGCUCCUUUCCUCCUUCUGUGACAAUGACACAGCACCAACAACCACAUCUCCUCUCCUCUCAAGUAAGUCAGUGUCCUUAUUCUCAUUCUUCUAUCUCCUUACAUCUCUCUAUGAACAGAGCCGCACUGCCUCCUCUUUUCUCAGUCUCUGUCUAAUUUUGAAUCCUUCCACGGGCUCUCCUCCUUCUGUGACGACGUAGACGAGACAGGGUCGGCGGCGUCAUAUUCUUUCCUCAAUUCCUCUCUCAUAUCAGUUUAAGUUCCUUAGUGUGUUUGGCUCCUCUCCCUCCGUAGUAGCAGAAGUUUUCAAGCUGAGAAGCUUUUGUUCUGUAUCAUCCUACUGUGGUGUCUUACUUGUGCAUCCUUCGUCUAUAGACAGUGCAUAAACAUUGUUGGAGUAGUGAUCAAUAACUACAAGAUUAUCAGCAAAGAAAAAGCAAGCAUCUGGAGUCCCGGAUUUGUGGCGAUUAGAUAAUGCUCCACAUUCAACUUUAAGGCUAUAUCUGCAUUACAUGAAAUCAGUGAAUGCUCAGCUAACUUAAGACACAUAUAAGAAGAAGAACUAUUGUUGGCUAGUGACAGACAUUCAAUCCAAGCAUAUAGAUAUGAAAAAGCAGGAACCAAAGGGAGAGAGAUGAUAACUUCGUAUGAUGGAACAUCAAUCAGGAAUCAGGAUAGAUAAAAAGUAAAGAGAUGUCUACUAUUCAACCGAUUAUCUUCAGAGUCAAUCAAUCCGUAUUGGGAUGACAGUCGGGUCAAGCAUCCCAUAUUGUUUUGUCUUGUGCAGAUAAGACUACUUUUUCUCUCUAUUGGUUGUGUUUGAAAAAACAAAAGGAAAUUGGGUUCAAUUCCUUAGUAUGUUUUGUUUUUUUAGUUUCUGGUUUAAUUUGUUGGUGGGUAGGCAUUAUGAUUCUGCGUUGGGUUGAUUUUUUUUUUUAAAUUUAUGUUUCUCUGCUAGCCAUUAGUUGAUGUGUAGAUUUACAGAAGCUGCUUCUUCCUGGGUAAUCUUCAUCGUACAUCCCUCAAAAUUUAUAACUGCUGCUAGUUCUUGGUUUUUUUAUUUAUAUAUUUCAUUUUUAUGCUUUUAGUUGGCAUGUUACUAAAUUUUCAAAAAACUUUAAUUAUGGUUAUGAUUGAAAAUGCUUCUAAGCUGCUUCAAGCCAUGGAGUUAUGAUCUAAACUAGUAUUUGCCAAAUUGAAAGUUUGACAAUGAUUGCAGUGCUAUUUUAUCAUAUUUGCUUUUGUAUUGUAGGCAAUUUUGAUUCAUCAAUUCUUUCCACUGAAAUACCAUUAAUCUUUCCCCUGUAUUGUAGGGAAUUUUGUUUCCUCCGGCCUCAAAGCAAAGACUAGGUAAUUUGGAUUUGAAAUGUGUGUACUUUGAUUUCUGUUCUUAGUAGAAAAAAUAUAGUGGAGGUUGUUGUGGUCUCUGAGAUAGUUGCAGGCCUUUACAAAGGUAGUUCUAACUUCUAUUCUAUUGAUGUGGUCUUUGUGAUGGUUUUCAUAAUGUAGUUGCUUUUUGUUGCUUGUGUAGGGUUGAUCUAGAAAAGAGACGUGCAGAGAAGGAACGGGCAGAAAAGGGGCACGUGCCUUCUGGUUAUUUUCUUUCUCUUACUUUCAGAGUUUUAGUAGGUAGUUUCUUUCCUUUUUAUGAAUGAUUUUCUUAAUGCCUUGUCUUUGCAAUAUGCGACAUUUGACUUUAGACAACACCCAAUAAUUGACCUGUGGGUAGUUAUCUAUAACUAUUGUUUUAUUUGGCUUGUAUGUUUUCCUGUUUACUGGACUUCCCAACCCACUGAACAUGAAACUUCACUGCAGUCAAGGGUACCAUGCAUAUGAAGAGUCCUAAUUUACAUGACUUCAAAAUCUUCUUCAUGGGAAAGUGACUCACUCUUCUUCAUGGGCUUCUUAAUUUGAAAUUGGUUUUGAUUAUGUUUUCCAGUUAGGUAUUGUUUUGAUUUUGAUUUUGGAUUUGCAGGUAUUCCAACUAGCAGCCUAUCCACCUUUCCCAGCAUCUGAUAUGGGUUGGGGUAAAGAAUUAGGCCAAGUACAAGACUAAUAUACUAUUUUGGAGUCUAUUUAUUUGGCUACUUGCAUUUGUAAUAUUUUCAUUGUAUCUGGAGAUUCUUUUUAUUUAUUUAUUUUUUAUUUUUAUUUUUAUUUUUAUACAUAAUGACUUUAGAUUUUAGAUUUAUAAUUAUUGGUUAUGUAAAGUGAAUGUAUUGAACAAUACUUUCAAUUACAUGAAUGAAGUUUAUGUUAGCUUUGAUGUAGUAC